UCCCACAAGUGUCCUGUAGCUCAGUGAUAGAGUGUCCGACUGGUGUGUGGAAGGUCUACUUGGUUCAACUCCUGUUGGGGGAA